ACAUCUUCACUGUCAUGAUCGUGUGCAGGAUUGGACAAAACAAGAUGGCAGACGGCAUUUCCAAACAAAGGUAUCAAGCCCUAGAACUUCAUUCCAUGAGAUGGGUACACUUCGAAUGUGCGAAAUUGGUGGUGAGGAAUUCAAGACCAAUUCUGAAUUUCGUAGGCAUGUAAAAAGGAAACAUCAAUCAGAGAAAUUGUCUUCGUUUGUGACCAGUGCAACACACGCUUAUAAAAGAAACAUGAAGUACAAAAAAUUACAUUGUUUUCUGAAUACACGAAGUGCAUACAUAUACCAUGGCAGCCGUUUUAUAUAUCCGUCUAUGUACAUUAUGAAACGAUUAUUUUUACGGUAUUAUGUUUUGUUUUACAGAGAUACUACUAAUCUUUUACAUUGCAUUUUACACAUGCUGAUGUGUUAUUUCAUUGAACCAGAAGUGUUCUUAAUUUUUAUUUGUUAUUAAAUAUAUUUCAAUGUUA